rnacentral:rRNA from 1 species
AGUGAACGCUGGCGGUAGGCCUAACACAUGCAAGUCGAACGGCAGCACAGUAAGAGCUUGCUCUUACGGGUGGCGAGUGGCGGUCGGGUGAGGAAUACAUCGGAAUCUACUUUUUCGUGGGGGAUAACGUAGGGAAACUUACGCUAAUACCGCAUACGACCUACGGGUGAAAGCAGGGGAUCUUCGGACCUUGCGCGAUUGAAUGAGCCGAUGUCGGAUUAGCUAGUUGGCGGGGUAAAGGCCCACCAAGGCGACGAUCCGUAGCUGGUCUGAGAGGAUGAUCAGCCACACUGGAACUGAGACACGGUCCAGACUCCUACGGGAGGCAGCAGUGGGGAAUAUUGGACAAUGGGCGCAAGCCUGAUCCAGCCAUACCGCGUGGGUGAAGAAGGCCUUCGGGUUGUAAAGCCCUUUUGUUGGGAAAGAAAAGCAGCAGGUUAAUACCCCGCUGUUCUGACGGAACCCAAAGAAUAAGCACCGGCUAACUUCGUG